rnacentral:misc_RNA from 1 species
AUACUUUAGACUGUUUUAACAAUUGAUGAAAAUAAAUAUAUUUGUAUGUAAUUAAUAAAGUUUUUAUCUAGAUUACAUAGAUAAGAUUCAAAGAAUUUCAAAUAUUACCCGCGCGUUAUGGUCCAGAGGAAAAUUGCGAGUUUUCAGGCCUGUAACAAAUUUUACUUCUGAAACAGUGAACUCCUAAAAGUUACAAGUGCUGAGACUGCGAUGAUAAGUGGGAAGAAUUAAAAAAAAAGAACUGUUGUAUUAAAUGCACUUACAUUUAUUAGUUUUCUUUACGUAUAUUCAAAGCUUAUUCGUGGUUUUAAUCUUUAAUGGCGAUAGUACAAUACUAGGAAAUAGAGAGCAGCGAGUAAGAUGCAAACAAUAAAGUGUGUUGUGGUCGGAGAUGGAGCUGUGGGAAAAACAUGUCUUUUGAUUUCAUAUACAACUAAUAAGUUUCCUUCGGAAUACGUGCCUACUGUUUUUGACAACUAUGCUGUAACAGUAAUGAUAGGCGGUGAUCCAUAUACGUUAGGAUUAUUUGAUACCGCUGGUCAGGAAGAUUAUGAUAGACUAAGACCUUUAAGUUAUCCGCAAACAGAUGUAUUUCUUGUCUGUUUCUCAGUUGUUUCACCAUCGUCAUUUGAAAAUGUUAAAGAAAAGUGGGUUCCAGAAAUAACUCAUCAUUGUCAGAGGACUCCAUUUCUCCUAGUUGGUACUCAGAUUGAUUUACGAGAUGACGUUGCUACUAUAGAGAAACUUGCAAAAAAUAAGCAGAAACCAAUAUCCGCGGAACAAGGAGAAAAACUUGCAAAAGAGCUCAAAGCUGUGAAAUAUGUAGAAUGUAGUGCUCUGACACAGAAAGGUUUAAAAAAUGUAUUCGACGAAGCUAUAUUGGCGGCAUUAGAGCCCCCAGAACCGGUGAAGAAAAGAAGAUGUAUGCUUUUGUAAAGCAUUUUACUGAUUUUGCAAUACAUUAUCCCUGACUACGAAGUAACAACAUUAAAAUGUAUCAGACGAUUCGCGUAUGGCAGCUAAAUUCGGUCGCCAAACCUUCUCCAACUCUCGGACAAUUUAAUUGCAUUUGAGCAAUGCAAACGUAUUUUUUAGUAUAUUGAAGAGUAUUGUUAUGUGUUAUCAUAUAAAUAAGCGAGGACAGAAAAUUGACAGCACUCUUACCUUAUAAGAUUAAUGAUUCUUUAUCGAUCAGAGAGAUAUAUAUGAAUCGUACACAUGUCUAAGAUAUUAGUGAAGUGUGUACAUUUUUGACUAUAAAUCAUACAUCUUUUUCCAUCAUUUCUCAUUGUUUUUCAUCAUUUUUUAAAUUUUCGUACUGCGUACAUCGACGCAAUGGAUAAAAAACGUCAUAAUUCUAAACGAUGGUAUACAGACGAUCGGUUAUCAUUAAAAGGCGAGGUACGUUAUCAUUCCGAUUCGAAGGACUAUCGGCUAUCUUAUUAAAAUCGUGUGGUAAGUCACGAAUAGACAAACAUUAAGUUAUUAAUUCUUAAAACAAGUAUUACGUGAAAAAUCUUUUAACAAUUUUUACACUAUGAACCCAGUUGGAGAUAAUUGCAUUUAUUAGCACUGUACUGUGUCGAACUAUGUAGACACAUUCGUAUUAAAAGAAAAAAGAAAAGAAAAAAAACUAUUCGCAUAAAUAUAUUUAUACCAUGUAACAUGAA